rfam:Brachypodium distachyon strain Bd21 chromosome 3, whole genome shotgun sequence.
UUUAUACUCCCUUUGUCUCAUAUUAAGUGACUUUUUAUUACAUGUAUCUAGACACAUUUUAUGUGUAGAUACAUCCAUAUUUGGACAAAAUUGAGUCACUUAAUAUGGGACAGAGGGAGCACAUG